AUUGAACGCUGGCGGCAGGCCUAACACAUGCAAGUCGAGCGGCGCGGCGGACGGGUGAGUAAGACCUAGGAAUCGGACUGGGCGUGGGGGAUCACGUUCGGAAACGGACACUAAUACCACAUACUAUCAGAUGACCCUAGGUCGGAUUAGCUAGGUGGGGAGGGAAUGGCACACCAAGGCUACGAUCCGUAACUGGUCUGAGAGGAUGAGCAGUCACGCUGGAACUGAGACGCGGUCCAGACUCCUACGGGAGGGAGCGGUGGGGAAUAUUGGACAAUGGACUAAAGCCUGAUCCGGCCAUGCCGCGUGUGGGAAGAAGGUCUUCGGAUUGUAAAGCUCUUUAAGUUGUGAGGCGUUACCGACAGAAUAAGCACCGGCUAACUCUGUGCCAGCCGCCGCGGUAAUUC
rnacentral:rRNA from 1 species